GAGUAAACUACCCAUUGUCCGAGCUGGUAGACGAGGAGCAACUGGACAUGGAAGAUGACACGUCCAAGUAUUGCGUGUCAAACCUGACGUGCCAGAUGGCCAAGAUUGGCAUCACAAAUGUUGUAGAGGCAUGGAAUGCUCACAGGAUCCCAGGAAAAGGCAUACCAGAUGACCUGGCUAAAGAAGGGUGUCCUGCAAAACCUGAGGAUGAUGUUGUACCUAUUGGUGCCAUUGCAGCGGAACUGUAUCAUCAGCAAGUGGGCUCUGCCUUGAAAAGAGAAUCUGUUUUUGGAUCUAAUCCUUUCUCCUCUGAGGAAGCUCAACAAUGGACUGAAAAGGAGUUUAAUUCUCACUUUGAUACAUUAUCCUUAUACCAAAAUGUGAUUCACCAGAACUAUUCACCUUU